rnacentral:rRNA from 1 species
UUGCCAGACUCCUACGGGAGGCAGCAGUGAGGAAUAUUGGUCAAUGGCCGAGAGGCUGAACCAGCCAAGUCGCGUGAGGGAUGACGGCCCUACGGGUUGUAAACCUCUUUUGUCGGGGAGCAAAGAGAGUCACGUGUGGCUCAUUGAGAGUACCCGAAGAAAAAGCAUCGGCUAACUCCGUGCCAGCAGCCGCGGUAAUACGGAGGAUGCGAGCGUUAUCCGGAUUUAUUGGGUUUAAAGGGUGCGUAGGCGGGACGGUAAGUCAGCGGUAAAAAUGCGGAGCUCAACCCCGUACUGCCGUUGAAACUGCAUCCCUUGAGUGCGCGAGAAGUAUGCGGAAUGCGUGGUGUAGCGGUGAAAUGCAUAGAUAUCACGCAGAACUCCGAUUGCGAAGGCAGCAUACCGGCGCGCAACUGACGCUCAUGCACGAAAGCGUGGGUAUCGAACAGGAUUAGAUACCCCAGUA